GAGUUUGAUCCUGGCUCAGGAUGAACGCUAGCUACAGGCUUAACACAUGCAAGUCGAGGGGCAGCAUGAACUUAGCUUGCUAAGUUUGAUGGCGACCGGCGCACGGGUGAGUAACACGUAUCCAACCUGCCGAUGACUCGGGGAUAGCCUUUCGAAAGAAAGAUUAAUACCCGAUGGCAUAGUUCUUCCGCAUGGUAGAACUAUUAAAGAAUUUCGGUCAUCGAUGGGGAUGCGUUCCAUUAGGUUGUUGGCGGGGUAACGGCCCACCAAGCCUUCGAUGGAUAGGGGUUCUGAGAGGAAGGUCCCCCACAUUGGAACUGAGACACGGUCCAAACUCCUACGGGAGGCAGCUAUGAGGAAUAUUGGUCAAUGGACGAGAGUCUGAACCAGCCCAGUAGCGUGAAGGAUGACUGCCCUAUGGGAUGUAAACUUCUUUUAUACGGGAAUAAAGUGAGGCACGUGUGCCUUUUUGUAUGUACCGGAUGAAUAAGGAUCGGCUAACUCCGUGCCAGCAACCCCGGUAAUACGGAGGAUCCCAGCGUUUUCCGGAUUUAUUGGGGUUAAAGGGAGCCCAGGCCGACUCCUAAGACAGUUGUGAAAGGUUGCCCGCUCAACCCUUAAAAUACAGUUGAUAACAAGGGGUCUUGAGGACAGCAGAAGCCGGCGGGAAAUCGGGGUGUAGCCGGGAAAUUACUUAGAAAACACGAAGGAACUCCCCUUGUUAAGGCAGCUUUCUUGGACUGUUACUUACGCAGAUUCUCGAAAAAAUUGGGGAUUAAAAACGAUUUGGAAACCCCGGCGGGCCCCCCCGGAAAACAAUGAAUACCCCCCCGUUUUGUCAUAAUACACUAAGCGGGCCACGCCAAAAGUUUUUAAAAUUCCCCCUGGGGGGGCCCGCCGCCAACCCUUAAAACCCAAAAAAAAUUUCCGGGGGCCCCGCCCAAGCGGGGGAAACAUGUGGUUUAAUUCGAUGAUACGCGAGGACCCUUACCCGGGCUUGAAUGGCAACUGAAUGAUGUGGAGACAUGUCAGCCGCAAGCCAGUGGUGAAGGUUCUGCAUGGUUGUCGUCAGCUCGUGCCGUGAGGUGUCGGCUUAAGUGCCAUAACGAGCGCAACCCUUAUCGAUAGUUACCAUCAGGUUAUGCUGAGGACUCUGUCGAGACUGCCGUCGUAAGAUGUGAGAAAGGUGGGGAUGACGUCAAAUCAGCACGGCCCUUACGUCCGGGGCUACACACGUGUUACAAUGGGGGGUACAGAAGGCAGCUACACGGCGACGUGAUGCUAAUCCCGAAAGCCUCUCUCAGUUCGGAUUGGAGUCUGCAACCCGACUCCAUGAAGCUGGAUUCGCUAGUAAUCGCGCAUCAGCCACGGCGCGGUGAAUACGUUCCCGGGCCUUGUACACACCGCCCGUCAAGCCAUGAAAGCCGGGGGUACCUGAAGUGCGUAACCGCAAGGAGCGCCCUAGGGUAAAACUGGUGAUUGGGGCUAAGUCGUAACAAGGUAGCCGUAAGGGCGAAUUUGCGGCCGCGGUGUACAAUGCUGUGUGAAGUGGGCGACACUCGCCACCUUUU
rnacentral:rRNA from 1 species